GAGGGUAUCUCAGUGGUAGAAGGCAUGCCUAGCAAGCACCAGAUCCUGGGUUCAAUCCCCAGUACCUCCA
rnacentral:tRNA from 1 species